GGGGGGCGGUGGGGGACAUCUCCCCCUGAGUGGGGGUGGGGGGCUGUGGGAGACAUCUCACCCAUGAGCAGAAGACGUUCUAGUUGAAGGAACAUUUGAAGAAACUAACUAAAACACUGUCCCUUGGAUGGCCCCAGCCCCUCUGCUGUUGAAUCCACGUUUUCACUUUUAGUUUUCUUUCAUUUUUAGCUGUCCGGUUUACUUUCAGCAAGACAGAACAAGACAAAUUAUAUAUGCUGUUGCUUUCUUGCACAUUGAUGAACGAAGGUAUCCCUCAACAAAAACGACAAAAGUUAAACUACUUUGAACAAUAGACAGAAUAGACAGAAUCCUUGUGUUGUGAAAACUCUUUCUGCAUAUACUUGUUAUUGAAAGGAACUAGCAUGGGUGGGUGUUAAUUGCAUGCAUUGAGAUGUGUCAGGUGUAUGGCUGUACUGGCUCAAGUGUAUGGCUGUAUACAGGCCUGGUCCAGGUGUAUGACUGUAUACAGGGCUGGUCCAGGUGUAUGACUGUAUACAGGGCUGGUCCAGGUGUAUGGCUGUAUACAGGGCUGGUCCAGGUGUAUGGCUGUAUACGGGGCUGGUCCAGGUGUAUUGCUGUAUACAGGGCUGGUCUAGGUGUAUUGCUCUAUACAGGCCUGGUCCAGGUGUAUGGCUGUUUUAUAGGGCUGGUCCAGGUGUAUUGCUGUAUACAGGGCUGGUCUAGGUGUAUUGCUGUAUACAGGGCUGGUCUAGGUGUAUUGCUCUAUACAGGCCUGGUCCAGGUGUAUUGCUCUAUACAGGGCUGGUCUAGGUGUAUGGCUGUAUACAGGCCUGGUCCAGGUGUAUGGCUGUAUACAGGCCUGGUCCAGGUGUAUGGCUGUAUAUAUGGCUGGUUCAGGUGUAUGGCUGUUCUAGUCCAGUUAACCUCCAGACUGCAGGUCCAGUGCCAGCUCACACCCACACAUCAUCGGGUCGAGCGAUGGUUGAGUUUAGAGGGGGGGGUGUUCCUGGAGCCUUGUAGCUCCUCUGCUCCGUGUCAAAGGAGAAUGGGGAUGCAUUUGGUCUGAUUUGGGUGCAUUGUGUUCUGAGACAGGGUAAACAUGUACAUAUGCCGUUUGUUUUCCUUUGUGGAUUAUUUUUGGUUUUGUUGUUGAACUUUUUACAUUUGAAUAUAUAUGGAUUACAUUGAACAUCACAUUUUUGGGUUAAUCGUAAUCAAAUUUAUUUUUAGAUGGAAGGGGGAUGAAUUGAUCAAUGAUCAUUUGCAUUUCAUUUUACUGAUGAGAAACUGUUCUUUGUAAAUAACAUCUAACCUUUAGGACAUAAUAAAUGCGUUGUACAGUGGUGGAAUGUCAAGCCGGUAGUCUAUAUCUGAUAUUAGCAUUUUUUUUUUCAGGUAGAUUUUAGAAUCUUCUACAAACUGCUAAAAGCAUGGGAUGGUCUUGUGUGGCAGAGGAGCGAUGCUAACCCAGCAGAAAGCUGGCAUGUUUGCAGUGUGUGGAUGCUCUGGUAGCUAGCUGGAGAACACACAGCUGGUACGCAGCUGGUAUGGCUUCUCCUCUGAUACUCUUCUGGUAUGUUGUACUUCUUCUAUGGUUGACCUGGUGUGCUGGCGUAGCUGGGAGUGUUGUGUGGCAACCAGGUAACUACGGGGGCCAGUGUGUCCUAAACUAUAUACUUGGUACAUUCAUUGGUUCUUUCAUUUCCACUACCAUUUCUCCUUAAGUUUAAGCCUUUUUAUAAAUUCUGGUACAAAUAUCAAUGUGCUUGAACCAUCGGGUUCUGACAAAUCCGUCAGUAAAUUAGCUGUUAGCCAGUCAAACAAAUAAUAAACGGACCUACAAUGCAAAAGGCCCACAUUUCCUCACCGCAGUUAGAAAUGGCAUGUUGCUCGACCAGCUGCAUGUUAUACGCUUUAAAGGAUGUUGUUCUGGAAUCUUUUGAAAACGUUCAGUUUUGAUUUACGGCUGAAAUUUUACUCCCACUCCAGUGCUGUCAGAAGUAUCAAAAAGACUUGGGCUCUACAGUCUGAAACUGAAAUAAAGGAAAAAGCAUUUGGAACAAAUGAA